GCCGAGGCGGCGUGGCGGUGAGGAGCGGUCCCGAGCGCGGCUCCGCUCGUCUCCUCUGCGGCUCCCGCCGGGCCCUUGGUGCCCGGCCGGCCCCGGCGCGGCAGGGCAUGGUGGCGCCCGGGCUGGGGCCGUGGCUCCUGGCCUUGUCCUUGGCCGCGGGGCCGGCAGGGCUGUGGGCGCAGCUGAGGCUGGUGGAGACCGGCGGAGGGCUGCAAGCGCCCGGGGACUCCGUGCACCUCUCCUGCCACGUAUCCGGCUACAGAUUUGAACUUUAUGGACUUUGGUGGUACCGUCAGGCACCGGGCAGCAGUCUCGAGUGGGUGUCCUUCAUCUGGACAUCGGGUGAUACAAUUUAUGGCCCAGCAGUGGAGGGUCGAGCCUCGGCAUCCCGGAAUGAUUCCCGUUCCGAGUCAUCUCUGUCGCUGCGGGGCCUGCGCCCUCAGGACUCUGCCUGCUACUUCUGUGCCGUUCCCACGGAGACAGGAAAUCCAGCAGAGCUUUAACACAAACCCGGCAGGCAGCUAAAACAACCACAUAACCUGUUGCUCACUGCCUGCUCCCAUUGGGGUGUGGGAGAGAAUUGAAAAUGGAAAAGGAAAGAAAGAUGCCGUUGGUUUACAUAAAGACAGUUUAAGAGGAUAAAACAAAACAAAAAGCAACAUCA